AUGGACUGCAACAUGUUGAACACUGGCUACUACACCACUCUUUCUGUUGCUGAGGGAUGCUGCUCUAUAAGACAAAGGGGAAGAAAGAAAGCCUGGAACGAAGAACUGAAGUCUUUUAAUCUUACGUACUGGAGAGGAACCCCCAUCUCGCCACCCCCAGUGCCAGGGCCUAAACAUUGAAGGUUGUUGUCAGAGUCAAUGGGUUAAAUUUGUAAAGGUUACUCUAUGCUGAAGAGAAUUAAAUAACUAAUCCCUGUAUCUCCUGAUGAAAAUAAUGCCUCACUGGAAGUCAAAUCUGAAACACUUCUCUUGGUUGACCUCAAAGCAGCAUAUUACUCAGUUUCUUGCUUCCUUGCUUUCAGGACAGUUGUAUGGAUAGGAAGUUCUUGUGGAUGCUCCUCUAAGUCCAUGUAUAUAUUUGUGUGAGUAUAUAUAGCUAUCUACCUGUCUAUAUACCUCCUACAGCAUGUGUGUACUGGCUCUAAUUCUCUGAAGAGAAAGGGGAAGAGUCCAUUGCUUGGAGGUUGGGAUAGUCAUGACUCAUUGGUGAGGAAAGACCACUCCAGUUAC
rnacentral:lncRNA from 1 species